rnacentral:rRNA from 1 species
GACGAGCCACACAAACGUUAUUCGGAUUUACUGGGCUUAAAGGGUGCGUAGGCGGCGCGGAAAGUUGGGUGUGAAAUCCCUCGGCUCAACCGAGGAACAGCGCCCAAAACUACCGUGCUCGAGGGAGAUAGAGGUGAGCGGAACUUAGGGUGGAGCGGUGAAAUGCGUUGAUAUCCUAAGGAACACCGGUGGCGAAAGCGGCUCACUGGAUCUCUUCUGACGCUGAUGCACGAAAGCUAGGGUAGCGAACGGG